rnacentral:rRNA from 1 species
UGGUGGACUGAUCUGUCUGGUUAAUUCCGGUAACGAACGAGACCUUGGCCUGCUAACUAGCUAGCGCACUUUUGCGCGCUCAGCUUCUUAGAGGGACAAUGGUGGUUACAUCACUGAAGCUCAAGGUAAUAACA